AUUUCCAAGCUGAGGGUUCGAGGGAGCUGGGAGACUGGAGUGAGUUCUCUCCUGGUCCCUCCUGACCCCCCCCGCCAGACAGAAGCCAGCCCAGCCGCCCUGCCUGGCAGUGCCAAGGAUGCCCCACCCAGGGGGUCCCGGGCCGUCCUGCCGCCAAGAAGAAUAUGUCUGGAGGCUAACCCAGCUCCUGGGCUCAGUGUCCCCUGGGCGAGGAGAGCUCAGCCCCUGCAGCUCGGACUCCAUCUGUACGGAGGACUUUGCCGCUUGCUUCCAAGAGGCCAUGGUGGAGGCUGUGCUGCCUAAGGAGCAGGAGGAGGGGGCCCGUGCCAGAAGCCCUGAGUCCCUGGGGGGGGCCACAUCUCCCGGCUGAGCCAGGGCUCCACUCCCCAGCCGCUCAGCUCCUGGGGCUGCCAGCAGCCCCCCAAGGAGGAGUGUUCCUCACUCCCGGAGGACCCCAGCCCCAGGUCGGGCCCACCUGCACCAGGCGCUGCAGGGCCUAGAUCUCUGCCCCACUUGGGGGGCCCCUUCCCUGAGAAGCGGAGACACAAAAGAGAUUCUGGAGUUGGGCAGGCGAGAAGCCAGAGUGGGGGCCUUGAGGCAGCCGGCCUCCACACUGGGAGCAGGAAUCCUCGGCCCUGUCUUCGCGCUUCUCCCCACAACAGAAGGGUCCACUGGGCCCCAGAGCCAUCCCUGAACGUCCGGCCUGAUGGUCCAGCCUGGGAGGCCCCAGCCCUGAGGCAGCUGUCCAGGCCUUUGGCAGGACCCCAGGACCCCAAGCUGUUUCUGGGUAGGCUCCCAGCAUCUCCCUGCAACCCUGGAUCUCUCCUCCCAUCCUGCCCACUGGAAUACCCAUCUCCUGGCUCCCAGAAACAACAGCCCAGCCUUAGCCACAGACAGGGGCUUAAAAAAGAGCAGGAGACCCCAGGGGACCCCAAGCCCUGGAAAUGGAGCAAGAAACCAGAAAGGAUGAAGGAUGGCAAGAUUUUGAAGAACAGGGAGGAGUGGGUAGCUGGGGGCACACACAGAGCAGGAAAGGAGAAGCCAGACGUCUCUGUUCAGGAUGGAGGCCCUGGGCAGUUCAGAGUUAUGGGAGCUACGAACACCAAGCACGGAGUAGCCCAGGCAGAUUCUGGCACAAGUGGGAGAUAG
rnacentral:lncRNA from 1 species